CUUCUUCAUCAUCCUCGGUCAGAUCACAACAGGAAAGGAAAAAAAAUGAAACUUGUCUGGAGUGCAGAAGCAGAGAGGAAGAGAUACUGUUUAUUGAAGCAGGCCAAUGGUGGUGGGGUGAAAAAGUCUCAAUUCUCCCAUCUCAGAAACAUUGAGCCUGGAAAUACUGCUGAAAUCACAUUUGGGAACAAAGCUCCACUGUAAGUAGGCUCACCCAUGAGUGUUGCUAAGCAAUGGAGAGAAGGCGAGAGAGGGAGAGCGCCUGACUUCAGGAUUAGAAGGAUAGAUAGAAGGAAAAACACUAAGGCUUCUCUAUAGCCUUAUUUAUAGUCUGCUUGCAAGUCCUAUGUUUUUCCUGCCUGACUCCUGUCCUAUUUGUACCACAAUUAAUCAAAUGCAGUUCUGUAUCUAUACCACCACGCAUCCAGCACAGAGUUGCACUGCGACCUGGAGCUCUGGCACAAGCAGUUACGCACCAGAACUGUCAACAUGUCUCCACGUUGAACAGGUAUGAAGUGGACUAACUUUUGAUUAAGACUACCAUACACUGCCUAUGGAUUUUACAGCCUCUGAAGAGAAAGAUGAUAGACUUUUAUGAAGCACUAGGCAAUAUAUAAGCUUUUCUUUAUUAAAAAAAAAAAACAAAAACCACCAGAAACACAAGUACACACAACUUUCUUAGUAACACUGUGUAACUACAGAACGUACUAAGCAAUGUCAUAUGGCGUGACUAGAUUUUAUUCCGUUAGGGCACCUAUAACGUUAACACAGAGUGGGUAUCUCAAAGACCCAAUAAUAGCUACCUUCUCUCAUCUUAUUGCCUUGAGCAACCAGUGCCGUCUCCAAUACCAAAAACAGAAUAACAUCACAUUAAAUAUGCAAAAUCCAAGAAGAUACCAGCUUUGAAUACUCUUUGAUCUUUCAUAACAGAAGGAAGUGUAAACCGAGAUCAAGUUUAUUAAAUACAGAUAAAAGCACAGUCAAGUUCCUUCCUUUCCAACAGCAGUUAAAAAUUGGACUUAGAUUUCUUAGAGACAAUUAGUUUUAUAUUUACAUGUUACUCCUUCAAUAUACUAUUCUAAUUCAAAAAUCCAACUUCUGAACACUAGAAUCCAUAUUUCUUCUGCUUCUAAACUGGAAACUGCUCUUUCUUCUUAAUGUGAGGGCAUAAGUUAAUUGAAAGUAUGAACUCGUAGCACUCAUAUGGAGAGGGAACAAAGCUGUUGCAGAAAUACAACAAAAAUAAGAAGUUUGAGCAUUAUUUUAAAGUGUACUUUAUCCACACAUAAAACAUCCUUCCAUCCAAUUCAGUUUUCAUUGCAUUUUAGUAGCAGGAGAUUAGGGGUACAGGUUAGCUGAAGAGACAUUGACUAUUAAAAAAAAAAAAAAUAGAUCUCUCCAACCUUGGAAAUACCUUGAAAGCCUUCUGUUCCUAGCACCAUGUGAAUUCAUCACUUAAAUGCGAUGCACAAUAAACAACUGUAGUGCACUUCAAUUUCACUUUUAAAAGCAGUUUAGUCACUUUUUAUACUUCAAGGAUUGUAAUUCUUUACAACAGCAGCAGCUUGAAAUGCAUUAUAAUGCCUAAUUCAUUUGAGACUUAAUUGUAGAAAGCUUUUAAUAUGGCCUUUAAGAUAAAACACAAUCUAAGUACCAUAAAAACCUUGCAGCUUCUUCUACAAUUAAACUCCUUCAAUGAAGAACACUAUCUUGUAAUUUUGCAAAGCAUCAGUUCUGUAUGCUAGAGCACAACACGGUGCAAGCAGAUGCCAAUAAUGAUGGAGGCUUUCCCUCAGAACACAAACAAGUAUGACACCAAGGUGAGCUAUUGCAUUGCAUCUCCCAUCAUGCUUCAGUUACCCAAGGAACAACCAGGAGUGGCAGCUAAGUUAUCAUUCCCCUGUAAUCAUUGGAAAAGCCCAGAGGAGCAUUUGAAAAACACUAGAAAGAAAGCAUCUCAGUAGAAGUAUGGAUCAGUUCUGACCAAGGGAGAGCCCUGGACAACCACUGUAGAUACAACACUUCUACACCAAAGUUUAAGGAGCUUGAACUAUUCUCAACACCACAGCAAGUCCCCCUGCCAAUCAGGCCAACACAAACAACUGCAUCCAAAGAAACAGUGUCAUUCCUGGGCUAUGAUUGGCCUAGACAACAACGUGAUACAGGAACAGACUUCCUUUACUAGCAGCUUGUUUUAUCAUCUUUUCUUCAGUUUUCUGAGUGUAUGUGCUGCUUUUCUAACCAUAUAAUUAAACCUUAUUCUGCUAAGCACCAUAUGGUCAUGAGCCAUUGAGUGAUACUCUUUAGGGGUCAGAAGGAAAAAAGCAGAAUGUCUCAUCUAAAGGUCAGCUCCUAUUUGCUGCCACCUGCCUCUCUCUGCAGGUGCUCACAGCCCUGCCCUUUCCUCAGCAAAAACCAACAGAAUGGGGAAGGCUUCUGGUUGUCAACUGCUCACACACACCUUGUAGCAAAUCAAUUCUAGGAACUGAAGUUCCACUGCAGGCUUCAGCACAGUUUGGGGAACCUAUUUCUCGAAGACAAGUUUCCAGACACACUGAGCACAUUCAGCAUUCAUUAAAUAAAAAUAUCUAAACCAACUGGCUCUCCAACUGGCCUGUCUAUUGGUUUGACCAUGGCACUCCAGAGUUGACAUAUCUCAGAUAGCAGCAAGUUCUGCAUUUCCACAGCUUCCUAUCCUCACCAGGAAAAGCUCUCUUUUUUUUUUUUUUUUAAAGCAGUUUUCACAUCCACUGUGGCAACAUCGGGGUAUGAUCCUAACCCACGUAACUGACUCCACACCUGCUUCAAGAGCAGCAGCCUUGAACAAGACUUUUACCAAGUGCCUUCAUUCCUGAGGAAUUAAUUUCUCCCUCAAGACAUCUACCCAUUUCCUAGGAUCAGGAGAUCCUCCUAAGCUGUUUUCAGUCACCUGCCUGCUCCCUUUACACAUCCUGAGUGCAACACAAACAAUUGUGAACAGGAACACCUGGAUGCACCAUUCUUGCCUGGCUCCCACAGCUGGAAUUGCACAGCAAAGAGCAGACAGAGCUGAACUCACUGAUGAGCCUCAGUACCUCUCUCUCCAAGUCUCAUCAGAGGCAAGGAAAUCCAUACACCAACUUGGUACAGAAACCAUUAAUAUUCUUGCAGAAGACCUAUGUGGAACUCAGUGCUUGAUAAUUGCAGUUAUAUUGUCCUGGGUAUAGAGACAUCAGUCACGCAGGUCUCCACUUUGAUAUCUGCAGAUGUGCUUGGUGAGCUUAAGUCACAGGGAGUCUGCAGACCUAGUGUAGAUGCCUUGAACAACCACAGAAAAAGUUUCCAGCUUUCAUCUAUGAUAAUUUCCUGAUUUAAAACGUCAUGUAUACAGAAAGCUUUUACUCUUCUGGAUAUGGUUUCUUUUUAAUGAUUUUUAGCAUAUUGUACUUAGGUGAAGUACUUCAGGAAAAUCUUCUCCUUUAAUAGUUUGCUCAAGAGGAUGCUAUUGCAGUGAAUUAUCUUUCUUUAGCCACAGCUGCCUCCCAAUGGAUUUUUUAUGUUUCUUACAGGGAAUUUAAGAGCAGUCUCUGAAGUCAUACGGAACUGACAAACUACUCAUUUAGAGAGGCUCCAUGCUGGGUGACUCCCAUGAUCUCCUUUGCUUUACAAACAGCAUUUCUUUUAAAAAGGUACAGAGUUUGUUUCCAUAUGCUCAUGAUUUCUCAAUACUGCUGUUCUUACAAACUAGUAAAUGAAUGCCUCCGGCUAGCACUAACAUUUCUAUCAAUGUAACAGCCCAGCCUACAGGGAUCUAAUUUACCGAAACUGGUUAAGUGCUACACAAACAUCAUCUAGAGAGAUUAAUUGGCUGUUAAAGUUUGAUUGCUUUGCAAUCCCUUGGUCAUGGUUGGAAAAUGAAAAAGUGAUCUUUUGUCAUUACGUAAAUACCUUAAGGUAUAGAAUAUAUGCAGGGCUUUGUUUACAUUUUCUAAACAAGCAAGUCUUCAGCGGGAAGGAGAGCUAUGACCCAUUUAUUUAUACUGAAGUUUAUUUAGUAUAUUCAUUAUGAAUGACAUUUUCCUGAAGUUUAUUUAGAAGUAAUGUCUUUCCAAGCUGUAAUUAAUCCAAAUUAAAACACAUUUAUGCUGAUCAUUACA